GGGGGGGGGGAAAUCAAUUAGUCACUGAAAGCCAAGCCCACAAGUGAGUACAGGCAGGCCUUGACCGACAUCGGUUGUUGAGCCAAAGACGAAGAAGAAGAUGGCAUGGAGGCAUUCGCCAUUAAGGCCGGAAUAGCGGAGUGGCACACGAAGGCGUGAGACCGUGAGCGGUCUCUCUCUCUCUUUCUCUCUCUCUCUCUCUCUCUACCUUUCUCUCUCUCUCUCUCUCUCUCUGAAUGCAGAGCCGAUUGCAUACAGUAUCGGACAUAAAGAUAGAACCCUGGUGUUUUCAACGUACCUUGCACUUGUUUUACCACGUUACUUGUGUUUGUGUGUGUGUGUGUAUGUGUAUGUAUGUAUGUGUGUGUGUGUGUGUGUGUGUGUGUGUGUGUGUGUGUGUGUGUGUGUGUGUGUGUGGUUGAAAGAGAGAGUGCUUUUUAAUGUGUAUUUGCAAGUACGCGGGUUUGUGUCUGAAAAACGUAGCUAGCUAUGGUUUCAUAUUGCAUGGAAAGCAUUCUGAUAAUGUGUGUUUUCAUGUGAGACAACGUGCGUUUGCACUUGGAUAAAAGCUAUAGUUUGCAUCGACAGCAGCGCUUGUUCCUCGGAAGAAACCGCAGGUGUGCUCCUUGAUGAAUGUGCAUGCGCAGCGCUGUGAAAUGGACACGCGCACAACAGCAAUGAACUCGGCAUUCCCUUACAGGUGUUUCUUCAGUGCACGCCAUAGAAAUGCCUGCGUGCAUCUCUGCGUUGAACGUUGUGUGCGCAUGUUAAACUUUGUACGUGCAUUGAGCUGACGCGCAGGUGUUCUUUUCAAUGGGCGUUUUGUUUCAUGAGCGCGGCAGUAUUCGGUUCUCGAUUUAAAUGGGUAGACACUCACUCGCUUACUCAUUUAUAGUUUUUAUCCAUACGCUUUUGUUGCUGCUCUACAACGAUGUAAUUCAUCACGUGUAGAAGCAGAACGCAGGCUGAGCACGGGCUCAGCCGUGUCCAAGUUUUUAACCAGCGCGUUCUUGACGGUCCAAGCAAGCAAUGUUAGUAACAAUGGGUCGAGGUAAACAUUGUACCGAUGAUCAGCGCCAAAUGAUAAAGCGAAUGGCUGCUGCUGGCAUUAAGCGCAAAAGGAUCGAGUUCGUAAUGGAACGAUCGCGCACUUUUGUGGCAAAGGCGCUUCGGACAUCCGAAAUGUGUUUGGACAACCAAAACGCGCUUGGACAACUGAAACGCGCUUGGACAACCGAAACGCGCAAGUCAACCGGACGUCCUCAGAAGACCACGGCGAAAGAAAACCGUAAAGUUGUUAAUAGAUCGAAAAAAACACUGAUCGCAAGGGCGGUGGUUCUGCUUAUUACAUCAAAAACCUUACCCAAAACACAGAAAAACUACUAACAAAUCUAUACGAAACGACAUACUUGUAAAACAAACACACACACCAAUACACAUUCAAACAUACAUACACACACACACACACACACAUGCACACACACACAUGUUCACACACAUACACACACAUGCACACACACACAAACACAAACACACAAACCACACAUAAACCUGACCCAACAGGUGCAUGCUGCGUUGAAAACACCAGGGUUCUAUCUUUAUGUCCGAUACUGUACGAUUGUAUCUUCACCAUUAACAUGAGAGGGACGGAGCUUAUACCCCGAACGUACCCGAAAGGUAUGCAUGCUUCACUCAUCAGGAUCUAAAGGCAUGUCCUUUUGAUGCGUUGUCUAUGCGUCUCGCUCCGUAUCACAGCGGCAUACGGCAGGUAAGCAGUACAAAUGCUGCUACCUGAUACGCACGCAUGUUUGUCGAACGCAACUAUUCGGUUCGGCUCGGUAAACUCCACGAGGACGCCGGAACAAAAGGGCGCAGACUUUUUCAUGAUUUUGUAUGACUUCGGCUGUUUUGGACUACGCGUGUAGGCGCUCGCAAUUACAAGCCAGAUUAAUGCCAAACGCAAAAAAAAUUUGAACACAUUUUAACGUAUUUUUGUGUGUUUUCAAAUAUAAAACAAGUUGGUUGCCUGAGUCAAAUGAGCUACUUUGAUCUACAUGGAGUGAAAUUUUGAGAUAAUUUUCGUCGCGCUGUUGUCGCUGUAUGUCUAUUUGAACAGUCAAACGCUGUGUCGUAACCUGUACAGAGUCUAAUAACCUUGACAUCCACGGCGAUGCUCGACGCCAUCAGUGGAUGAAAGUAUGAAAAGAAACGAAGAAAAGCAUCAGUCACCAUCAGCAUCAUCUUACUUUCACACUUUUACAUUGGUUGAUGAUUAUAAACUUUUCAAAUUCACCAAAACAAACAGCGAUGGAACCAAAUCCAGAACACCAAUAUUAUUAUUAUUAUUUAAUCUUCAACGGGCCGUAUGGCCUAAAUAAGAUGUAACAGUUCAAUAAAAAAAAAUACAUAGCAAAAACAAGAUUUGCAUCGCAAUUCACUGCGGCCACGGCAAAAGCCGGAGACGUUCCUUGAAGCACUGAGUUGAGAUGUCGAAGUCGAAGCAAUCCGAGAGAGUGUUGAAGACAGCCGACAUGCGGAACAUAGGGUCAGACCAACCAGCACUGGAACGGGGUUGAACGAGCCGUAGAGUUUCUCUAGACCUAAGUGUUCGGGAUGGUGCUUAGAUAUCGACUCGAUGCAACAAAGCUUUGAUGCACAUGGGGUUGUGGAAUUCAUCAGUUGUCCGGAUAACCACGCCAAGUAAUUGAUUUCCUCUGGCUACAACGUCAUCGAUAUGCUGUUUAAAGUUCAAACUAGAGUCAAGCAGAACGCCCAGGUCUUUGGCAUGAUUUUGUCGAUUGACUGCAGUGCCGUAAUAUCACAAACGAGGUAAAAACCCAAUACCGCGCUGUAAAUAAACCAGUGACAGUUCGAACAUGCGACCUGGGCACUGUGAGCCGCAGUCAGUCAGUGUGUCAGUUUCAAUUGGUGUUGCUUUCAUUUAUGGCGGUUUGUUUACAUUUCGUUGCGCUUAUCAUCAGGUUCCCGUGGUUCGAUAUUCGGUCGAGCUUUCUUUUCGUCAACCUCAUCGUGACGAUCGUGGUGCUCGGUGGACUGUUGGCAACGAUCGAAAAGCAUCUCCCCUCUGCCAUCCGGCAGACGUUCCGGGUAUGACAAGCAUGCACUGAAGGGAUCAUCGGACCGAUUGGUGUCCCUGCUGGAGAUCCUGAAGGCAUGGUUUAUACAUUUCUACGACUUUGCUGCCCUCUGGUCGGUGGCCGGAUUUGCCGUCAUGAUGUAGCCAGCGCGGGAUUACGUAAUCGCCUUCCUCGAUACGUUGGCAACCAACAAGCGUAUGGUGCGCACCACGCCUACCGAGACGAUGGUUGCCAUGGCGUUGAUCACGCUGCAGUGUUUGCGCCGGUUCUACGAGACCUGGUUCGUGCAGGUGUUCUCGAGCAAGCUGAAAAUCACCCACCAGUGGUACGUGGAAAACUUUCACAACUAUCCUAAGCAAAGGAAAGCACUCGUCCUGUUCGUUCUGUGAGAUCGACGGUGAGGGUGCAGAUAAUAUCAUUCCGGUUGUUAGGCUUUUUUUUAGGAUCGAAAAAAUGGUAAGGUUGGUGUUUGGCUUUUUUUAGGUUGCUGGUUCCCGGCUGAUGGGAUUCAGCUGGUUUUCCUGGAUCGUCUGUGAAUGCCUUGUUCCACGGACCGGUCGUCGAUGCACUCGAGGUGCACCGCAUUGACGAGCGGCAGUAGCAGGAUGCAAUCGGCGCGGCCGAGCUGGCAGCGAGGCCGUUUCUCGGUGAGCCAUUCACGCCGAAUGAGGGCGGUCAAGAGCCGGCUGCAUACGUUCGAUUCGUUCGAUUCGAUAUUCGUUACGCGCACGAUCAAACUGUGUAACGAUGCCGAGUGUGUCCGGCCAUCGCGACUAGAAGCAUAGCAAAAGUUAAGUUGCGUCGUCUAUUGUGACACCUUUUCAUCAACAACUGGCAUGACUAUCGGCGCUCGGUCGGUGGCUCUAGCGAAGGGGAGGGUGCGUUCCAAUCGGCUGGCAGGACACAGAUCGGAUCGGUUAGAACAGCGAUCGGCAUAGUACGGCUCGCGACCCGCUUGUGGCUAUUUGUUGACUAGGUGGAGGCUCUUUAUCGUUCACACAUUUUAAAUAAUUUUCAUACAUGUUCUCUUUUGGUUGAUCUAGUUGCCUCUUCAAGUGCAAAUCUACGAACAUGUUUAGAAGAUUUGGCUCUUUCGAUCGCAACGUUAGCCGAGUCGCUGGGGAUAUUGGAUUGUAAGGAAUGAAUAUACUGUCCGCAGGAACCAGAUGAUGACAUCACCAAGGAGCUAAUGCGCUAAAGCUUAUCAGGAGGAGGCGAGAAUGGUUUGCUGUUUUUGGCACAGCUCCCACGUAUCAUCCAUACUAGGCAUGUGUAAAAUGAACGAGAAUCGCACCGUUCGAACAGUUCGGUAAAGUGCACGAACGAACGAGGUUCUUAACAAAAAGAACGACCAGGACUUUUGGAAGAAACUGACUACACCGAACGCGUUCAAACGUUCCGUUCAGUGUUCGACGGCACACAUAAAUGUGGUAAUAAAACGUGCAAAAUCAUA